rfam:Triticum aestivum genome assembly, contig: Triticum_aestivum_CS42_TGACv1_scaffold_130391_2BL
UAUAUACUCCCUCCGUCCCGAAAUUCUUGUAUUAGAUUUGUCUAGAUACAGAUGUAUCUAAUACUAAAACGUGACUUGAUACAUCCGUAUCUAGACAAAUUUAAGACAAGAAUUUUGGGACGGAGGGAGUAUAUC